rnacentral:rRNA from 1 species
UACGUAGGGUGCAAGCGUUAAUCGGAAUUACUGGGCGUAAAGCGUGCGCAGGCGGCUUUGCAAGACAGAUGUGAAAUCCCCGGGCUUAACCCUGGGAACUGCAUUUGUGACUGCAUGGCUGGAGUGCGGCAGAGGGGAUGGAAUUCCGCGUGUAGCAGUGAAAUGCGUAGAUAUGCGGAGGAACACCGAUGGCGAAGGCAAUCCCCUGGGCCUGCACUGACGCUCAUGCACGAAAGCGUGGGGAGCAAACAGG